AAUGAGCCUGCGAGUUGUGGUGUCUGGCAAGGUUAAGCAAACGCGAAGCCGUAGCGAAAGCGAGUCUGAAUAGGGCGCUUAGUCAGAUGCUGCAGACCCGAAACGAAGUGAUCUAUCCAUGAGCAAGUUGAAGCUAGUGUAAGAACUAGUGGAGGACUGAACCCAUAGGCGUUGAAAAGCCCCGGGAUGACUUGUGGAUAGGGGUGAAAGGCCAAUCAAACUUCGUGAUAGCUGGUUCUCUCCGAAAUAUAUUUAGGUAUAGCGUUGUGUCGUAAUAUAAGGGGGUAGAGCACUGAAUGGGCUAGGGCAUACACCAAUGUACCAAACCCUAUCAAACUCCGAAUACCUUAUAUGUAAUCACAGCAGUCAGGCGGCGAGUGAUAAAAUCCGUCGUCAAGAGGGAAACAACCCAGACUACCAGCUAAGGUCCCUAAAUCUUACUUAAGUGGAAAACGAUGUGAAGUUACUUAAACAACCAGGAGGUUGGCUUAGAAGCAGCCAUCCUUUAAAGAAAGCGUAAUAGCUCACUGGUCUAGUGAUUUUGCGCGGAAAAUAUAACGGGGCUAAAGUAAGUACCGAAGCUGUAGACUUGCGCACAACUUAGAUUAUUUAAGUUUAGAAUAUGAGAAACUAAGUUAUGUUUAGUUAUAUUUUUACUGAUUUUUAUAGAGUAAAGAUAGAAAUAAAACUUAGUAAAAUCAGUAAAAAUAUUCUUAGGCUAAAGUUAAGUAGUUUAAGUUGUGUGCAAGUGGUAGGAGAGCGUUCUAUUUGCGUCGAAGGUAUACCGGUAAGGAGUGCUGGAGCGAAUAGAAGUGAGCAUGCAGGCAUGAGUAGCGAUAAUUAAUGUGAGAAUCAUUAACGCCGUAAACCCAAGGUUUCCUACGCG
rnacentral:rRNA from 1 species